CAUUACACAAUAUGAAAGCCGUCGAGGUACCUCACCUCCGGUGAGGGCUCCAGCUUGUCUGAAUUAUUCACCCAUGUCUUUUGCGCACUUCUUGUUUCCUGGGCGGGUUCGCCCGCCACCAGGACCAAACCAUAAACCUUUUUGUAAUUGCAAUCAGCGUCAGUAAACAAUGUAAUUAUUACAACUUUCAACAACGGAUCUCUUGGUUCUGGCAUCGAUGAAGAACGCAGCGAAAUGCGAUACGUAGUGUGAAUUGCAGAAUUCAGUGAAUCAUCGAAUCUUUGAACGCACAUUGCGCCCUUUGGUAUUCCAAAGGGCAUGCCUGUUCGAGCGUCAUUUGUACCCUCAAGCUUUGCUUGGUGUUGGGCGUCUUUGUCUCUCACGAGACUCGCCUUAAAAUGAUUGGCAGCCGACCUACUGGUUUCGGAGCGCAGCACAAUUCUUGCACUUUGAAUCAGCCUUGGUUGAGCAUCCAUCAAGACCACAUUUUUUUCAACUUUUGACCUCGGAUCAGGUAGGGAACCCGCUGAACUAGGGAUCAUUACACAAUAUGAAAGG
rnacentral:rRNA from 1 species